GCGAAUGUAGCUCAGUUGGUAGAGCGCCAGAUUGUGGUUCUGGAUGUCGGCGGUUCGAAACCGCUCAUUCGCCCCA
rnacentral:tRNA from 1 species